rnacentral:rRNA from 1 species
UACGGGGGGGGCAAGCGUUGUUCGGAAUUACUGGGCGUAAAGGGCUCGUAGGUGGCCAACUAAGUCAGACGUGAAAUCCCCAGGCUCAACUUGGGAACUGCGUCUGAUACUGGAUGGCUUGAAUCCGGGAGAGGGAUGCAGAAUUCCAGGUGUAGCGGUGAAAUGCGUAGAUAUCUGGAGGAAUACCGGUGGCGAAGGCGGCAUCCUGGACCGAGAUUGACACUGAUGAGCGAAAGCUAGGGGAGCAAACGGG